GCGCACAAAAUAUAACUAGGUACGGUCCCAAUUUCUAUGGCUUCAGUCUGACGACAUCAUUCAAAAGUAAAACACCUACAUUUUAUUUUUUAAAUUUAGUCUUCAAAAUGUUCAUUGGUCCAGUUCAAAAAGAGCACCUCCACAUGAUGAUCCUUGGCUGUGGUUGGCCUUGUGGAUCACUGAGUGGACCCUGCUGCGGUGGGUGCUGUGGCAGCUGUUGCGGUGGCUGCGGCGGUUGCGGCGGCUGCUGUUGAUCUUGAACGAGACCUUUAGACCUGGACCAAUGCACAUCAAUUGCCAGGAUCUUUGCGAAGCAAAUGAAACCACAAUUAACAUCUGCAAGCAAGAGCAAAAUCACGGCAUGAAGAAUAUGUUUAAUAAAUGGUUGUGAGACGUUAUUUAAAUUUGUUGUUGUGGGCUUUAAUGGGGCUACGAUAGGGGCGUGUUUGGGUCAAAACAAAUUUCGAAUGACUUUGAUCCUAAGACAAACGAAUACAACCCAAAGCACACGGUGUAUGACCUAAAAGGUUUGGAAAUAAUUUCAAUUAAAAUUCUUCUGGAUAAAAUUCUGUGAAUCGCUGUGUUGUGCAGUUCUCUGCGGUGGCUGCGGCUACUGUCUUUUGAAACUGGACUAAUGCACACAUCAGUCGGCGGGAGUCCUAGAAGCCAGACAAAAUCUGGUUUGACAUCUAUAAACGAGCAUUUUGGAAUAAAAAUUUAGAACUGGGCUCGUUUACAUUUUGCCAUUUCUUCAUAGGAUUAUUUUCUUCAAGAAUAAAAAAUACAAUAAAAUCUUUGUUCUUUUCCCUUUACACGAUAUUUCAAUAUUUUUAUUUAAAUCUUUGCAAUUAAGCGCUGGGCUUUAUAAAUAAUGUAAGCAUUGACAGUCCGAAUACCCCACUUGGCUCUUUGAAGGAACUGAAGUUCCAGUUCCAAGAGAGGAAUGCCAUUGCAAUUGACAUUGGCCAGCCAAUUACCUCUGCUUCAUUCGCUAUAGAAGAGUCAAGGGGAAUAUAUAUGCUUGCAAGGAGUUGCUGAUUUUUUGAUAGCAUACAUACGUACCCUACGUAUCUUAUAAGCAGUUCAAAAUUAAAAUUAUUUUUAAAGUGCAUACCAAAUUUUUACCAAUAUUAGUGCGACUUAAAGCAUCAGAAGAAGCCUUCAUAUUUUACUCUUGGAAAAAUGAGUUUAAUAUUUGACUAACAACUUUUGAUUAAAGUAGCUUUGAAAAACUAAUCACAAAUUGUUCGACCCAAGUCCGCUCCUUGUUCAACUUCUCCAGUCUUACCCAAGUGAGCAAAGGAAUAACACCUAAAUUUUUUCCAAAUUAAAAUCUUCAAAAUGUUCAUUGGUCCGGUCCAGAAAGAACAUCUGCACAACAUGAUCCUGGGAUGUGGUUGGCCCUGUGGAUCACUGAGUGGACCCUGCUGCGGUAGCUGCUGUGGAGGUUGCUGUGGUGGCUGCUGUGGUGGCUGCGGCUGGUGAUAUUUAAGCUGGGGUUUGGACUUGGACCAAUGCGCAACAGUUGCCUUGAUCCAUAUGAAAAUAUACCACAAACGACAUCCACUGGCCAACGCUAUUUUAAGGCAUUGUUGUUCAAUGUGAAGAAUGUUUUAAUAAAUAAUCGAAGUGAGACUUAACACAAAUA